ACGCAGAACUUGAGAACACGUCGAGCUUAAGUCGACGAAUUUCUGAGAACUCGUAAUAAAAAGCAAAAAGUAUGACGAAGUCGUCGAAAAGUAGGUAUUCGAAUAUGAGUAAAAACUUAUGUUUGAUUGAUUGAUAAGUGUCUCGAUUACAAGGCCCUAGGGUCUAUAUUUAUACCCUGCUCAAAAGAGCUACAACCAGACACGACUAGAACUUGAAUUCCAAAUUAAACAGAAUCCGUAUACAGAACGAUUUAAAUAACUAAGGAAAAACAUAAAACUAUCUCCCUGUGACAGCCUGGGACACCACCAUAGACCAAUCGGCAAUAUCCAAGUCUUCCUCCCGCGUCAUCGGCAGAUUCUUCACCGCAAUCACUAGUAGAGGUUAAUGCUGACCAUCGGCACAGACAAAUCACCUUCCAUGGACUUAGCCACAUCCAGCCGUCUUCUCAUCGGCAACCACCCUCAUCGGCAACUCUCCUGCGGACCAACUAUCUUUGCCUUGUCCUGCCGAUCUAUACUCUAGCGAUCUUGGACACGUGCCCAAAAACGGUGUCAACAGGGUGUGACAAAGAGAUUAGACCAACGCAAAGAAAAAAAAAAGCUAAUACUACCUAGUACACGUAAUAAAAGUUGUCGCGCAC
rnacentral:lncRNA from 1 species